UGCAUGGGUGCUUCUGAGACUGCUUUUCAACAUUUGUAAGCAUGACAUCACUGGACAUUUUAAAGGAGAAGUAGGGACAUCUCCAGCAAUUCUUGAGGCAACCAAAGCAGGCACCCAUAUACUUGCCCACACCUCAAUGACUAUCUGCAGCCUGGACAGGGGUAAUCCUUGAACUUAUAGGCAGCGCUGUGUGCUCCAAGCAAAUCCCAUUCCUUCAAAAUGCAGACGCCCCUGGAGCUGAAGUGUGGCCCAAAAACCUCAGAGCUGAGAGAAGUAAACAACCCGGCAUGUCCCCAGACUUCCCCAUGGUCUCCUUACUUGUGCAGUGAACACCUCCAAAGACUGCCACCCAUGGAGAACCCCACCACGAACAGACUCGACUGGAUAGGAAAGGACAGCA